rnacentral:rRNA from 1 species
GAGUUUGAUCAUGGCUCAGAUUGAACGCUGGCGGUAGGCUUAACACAUGCAAGUCGUGCGAGAAAGUAUCUUCGGAUAUGAGUAGAGCGGCGGACGGGUGAGUAACGCGUAGGAAUCUACCUAGUAGAAGGGGAUAGCCCGGGGAAACUCGGAUUAAUACCGUAUACCUCCUUCGGGAGAAAGAAGGCCUCUCUUUGAAGCUUUCGCUAUUAGAUGAGCCUGCGUAAGAUUAGCUUGUUGGUGAGGUAAAGGCUCACCAAGGCGACGAUCUUUAGCGGGUCUGAGAGGACGAUCCGCCACAUUGGGACUGAGACACGGCCCAGACUCCUACGGGAGGCAGCAGUGGGGAAUAUUGGACAAUGGGCGCAAGCCUGAUCCAGCCAUACCGCGUGUGUGAAGAAGGCCCUAGGGUUGUAAAGCACUUUAAGUUGGGAAGAAAAGUUAUUGGUUAAUACCCAAUAACCGUGACAUUACCAUCAGAAUAAGGACCGGCUAAUUCCGUGCCAGCAGCCGCGGUAAUACGGAAGGUCCAAGCGUUAAUCGGAAUUACUGGGCGUAAAGCGCGCGUAGGUGGUUUAUUAAGUUGGAUGUGAAAUCCCCGGGCUCAACCUGGGAACUGCAUCCAAAACUGAUUCACUAGAGUACGAUAGAGGGAGGUAGAAUUCACAGUGUAGCGGUGGAAUGCGUAGAUAUUGUGAAGAAUACCAAUGGCGAAGGCAGCCUCCUGGAUCUGUACUGACACUGAGGUGCGAAAGCGUGGGUAGCGAACAGGAUUAGAUACCCUGGUAGUCCACGCCGUAAACGAUGUCAACUAGCUGUUGGAAAACUAUGUUUUUCAGUGGCGCAGCUAACGUAGUAAGUUGACCGCCUGGGGAGUACGGCCGCAAGGCUAAAACUCAAAUGAAUUGACGGGGACCCGCACAAGCGGUGGAGCAUGUGGUUUAAUUCGAUGCAACGCGAAAAACCUUACCUAUACUCGACAUACUCAGAAUACUUUGUAAUGAAGUAGUGCCCUAGGGAGCUGAGAUACAGGUGCUGCAUGGCUGUCGUCAGCUCGUGUCGUGAGAUGUUCCGUUAAGUCGGAUAACGAGCGCAACCCUUACCCUUAUUUGCCAGCGAUUCGGUCGGGAACUAUAAGGGGACUGCCGGUGAUAAACCGGAGGAAGGUGAGGACGACGUCAAGUCAUCAUGGCCCUUACGUAUAGGGCUACACACGUGCUACAAUGGAGAAUACAGACGGACGCUAAGCCGCGAGGUGGUGCUAAUCCUAGAAAAUUCUUCGUAGUCCGGAUUGGAGUCUGCAACUCGACUCCAUGAAGUCGGAAUCGCUAGUAAUCGCGAAUCAGCAUGUCGCGGUGAAUACGUUCUCGGGUCUUGUACACACCGCCCGUCAUACCAUGGAAGUGGACUGCACCAGAAGUAGAUAGUCUAACCUUCGGGAAGGCGUUUACCACGGUGUGCUUCAUGACUGGGGUAAAGUCGUAACAAGGUAACC